GCAAGUAGAGGCGCGGCAAACAUCAGUACCGGAAAGCAAUGCCAGACAGCAGCUUUGCGGGAAAGGGAAUGCCGCCGAAGGGUCGAAGGCGUGUCUGCGCCGCGAUGCCUGGGCCGGUGGAGAAGAUCUGCCGGACUGCCGCAUGUUUUUGCGGAGAGCUAUGA
rnacentral:ncRNA from 1 species